ensembl:Mt_rRNA
CAAAGGUUUGGUCCUAACCUUCUUAUUAGUUUCUAGUAAAAUUAUACAUGCAAGUAUCCGCCUCCCAGUGAGAAUGCCCUCCAAGUCCAAUAGACUAAAAGGAGCCGACAUCAAGCACACUAACACAGUGGCUCACAACGUCUUGCUCAACCACACCCCCACGGGAUACAGCAGUAACAAAAUUUAAGCAAUAAACGAAAGUUUGACUAAGUUAUACUAGAUAUGCCAGGGUUGGUAAAUUUCGUGCCAGCCACCGCGGUCAUACGAUUAACCCAAACUAAUAAAUAUACGGCGUAAAGCGUGUUUAAUCUAUACUUAAACUAAAGUUAAAUCCCGACUAAGCUGUAAAAAGCUCCAGUCUGACUUAAAAUAAUCUACGAAAGUGACUUUAAUAUCUUUGAAGACACGACAGCUAAGGUCCAAACUGGGAUUAGAUACCCCACUAUGCUUAGCCAUAAACAUAAAUAAAUAUAAACAAAUUUAUUCGCCAGAGUACUACAAGCAACAGCUUAAAACUCAAAGGACUUGGCGGUGCUUCACACCCCUCUAGAGGAGCCUGUUCUAUAACCGAUAAACCCCGAUCAACCUUACCACCUCUUGCUAAUUCAGUCUAUAUACCGCCAUCUUCAGCAAACCCUAAUAAAGGUUUUAAAGUAAGCACAAGUAUAAACAUAAAAACGUUAGGUCAAGGUGUAACCUAUGAGGUGGAAAGCAAUGGGCUACAUUCUCUAUCUUAGAGUAUUACGAAUAUUCUUAUGAAAAUAAGAAUUAAAGGAGGAUUUAGUAGUAAAUCAAGAAUAGAGAGCUUGAUUGAAAUAAAGGCCAUGAAGCACGCACACACCGCCCGUCACCCUCCUCAAAUGCAACUCCCACAACAAUCUACAUAAAACAAAUUAUAGCGCAUGAGAUGAGAUAAGUCGUAACAAGGUAAGCAUACUGGAAAGUGUGCUUGGAGUAGAC